UAUGUGAUCGUCUCUCGCAUAUCAAUAAGCGGAGGAAAAGAAACUAACAAGGAUUCCCCUAGUAACGGCGAGUGAAGCGGGAAGAGCUCAAAUUUGAAAUCUUAAAGGGUUUCCCUUUACGAAUUGUAGUUUAAAGAAGUGUUUUCUGUUGAGGUUUUGGUAAAAGUUCUUUGGAAUAGGACAUCAUAGAGGGUGAGAAUCCCGUAUUUGACCUUUACUUUCAACUUUGUGAUACACUUUCAAAGAGUCGGAUUGUUUGGGAAUGCAGUCCAAAAUGGGUGGUAAAUUUCAUCUAAAGCUAAAUAUUGGCGAGAGACCGAUAGCGAACAAGUACCGUGAGGGAAAGAUGAAAAGAACUUUGAAAAGAGAGUUAAACAGUACGUGAAAUUGUCAAAAGGGAAGCGUUUGACACCAGUGUUGUUUUUCUGAAAAUCAAUUAAAGAACUGUUUAUGCUAAGCUGUUUAGACUUUAUCAGCUAAUCUGUUUAGUUUUGAGCUUUUCUUUAAUGCACUUUUCAGUUAACAAGUCAACAUCAAUUUCUUUUGCUGUAAAAAAGCUUGAGGAAGGUGGCUUGAGAUUCGUCUUAAGUGUUUAUAGCCUCUUGCCUAUGCAGUCGGAGAGAUUGAGGUCUGCAGCGUAGAUCCUUCGGGGCUAAAUGCAUUUGUGCUAAGUUAUAGCAUUUUAUAGACAACUUGUUGACUAUGAUUUGUCUUGUAGCUUACUCGCUUAUGUUAUUUUACCUACGCUUAGGAUGUUGAGCGCAUGUCUCUCUCU
rnacentral:rRNA from 1 species